CCAAAAGUGUCGCCCCUCCUUUCUCUCCUCUCUCCUCCACCUCCCUUUGUCAGAACCCUGGCGGGAAUCUCGUUUUUGCCACCUUCCUCUCAUCUGCUCCAUCUGACCUAUCUUCUAAAACCUUAGCACCAAAUGGUGCAAGGUCUGAUUUUGUCACCCUAGCCUCACAAAUUUCCUUUUCCCUUCAUCUCUCUCAUUGUCCUCUCUUGAACCCCCCCAACACCAAUUGGCGUUACUUCAACAUCCUUCGUGUCAUCAUGACUUUGAGAAUCAGAUUCUCUGUCACAAAUCCCUUGAUUCAACUUCAUGUGAUUUGUACAUGAGUUUGAAUUGACUCAUGAGAUUCGAGAGACUUCAAAUCUGAAGGAGUUUUUAUCCGCUGGACAAAGAUUGAAACCAACGGACAAGCCUUCGACCCCGAAGUCCUAGCUUCAACAACUCUUUCCCUUUUCAUGAAUGCCUCCAAAAGGUAAUGAUUUUCACCUUUUCCAUUUGAUCUUUACCAUGACUUCCAUCAUGAUUUCAUCAUCAUUUUUCUUCAAAUUCUGAAAUUUAAGUUUCAAAUCUGAAAAGGUCUUCAAUUUGGGCUAUAAAUAGCCGACUUCAAUACUCUUUUCACAACAUGAGAUACACUACUCAUUAUGUGAAAAAAAACUCUCUGAUAAUUCGAGUUUUUAGUGCUUUACUCAUUUUGUUUUCUCCUCUGUUUGAUUCGAUUGAGCAAGGGCGGAUUUAGGGGGCGGAAGGGUGUUCAUCCGAACAUCCUUCGUCGGAAAAAGUUACACUGUUUAUAUAGGGGUAAUUUUAUUUUUUUACGUAUAGAUAUAAUAUGUUGAACGCCCUUGACACAAGUCAAAAGCUUGGCUUAGUGGUCAAGGGUGUUCAGAUUUUGUAAAAGGUCGCAGUUUCAAUUCCCGUCAACUGAAAUCUAAUUCUUUUUACCUCAUACUUUUUUUUAAAAUUUUAAACUAAACGAAACGACGUCGUUUUCGUUUCGUCUCUUUUAAUAUGUUUUUCCCCAAAAACGUAACUGACUUUGAGUUAAAAUCCCUAAAUCUCUCUCUCACUUCAUUGCCUCAAUGGCUCCCUCCACUCUCUCUCUCUCUCUCUCUCUCUCUCUCUCUCUCUCUCUCUCUCUCUGUGUGUGUGUGUCUCUCUCUCUCUUUCUCCAAUCUCUCUACCUUGCUGCUGUUGCUUGCUAUUCUUCUGUCAUGGCAUUGUCAUCCCAGGUAAAUUCCUUGUUCUUUCUAAUUUUUCAGAAAUUUAUUAGUAUUUUAUUGGUUAUUCUUAAUUUAGAUUAAUGACUCUUGUUUGUUGUUUUUUGAUUCUUGAAUCCGUAGACUUUAAUAAUGUAAAUUAUUGAGUUUUCUACUGCAUUUGCUUUGAUAAAUUUAUGAAAAAUAAUUGCUAAUUUUUUUUAGAAUUGAGAUACUUUUGACUCGAUCUUUGGUGAUAAUUGCUCAUAUUUUAUCCCCUUCCGCUGCAUAAGUUACAAUGAUUAAUAUUGUGUAGGAAGGAAAAAAAUUCCAAUCUCUUACUAUCCAAAUAAAAUAAAAUAUAAUAUAAAUCGCUAGUACGUGUGCGUUUUCAACAUAUCGUUAGCGUGAGUUUCGACGAUAGUUUAGUUCCUAUUUAGAUUUUUUUUAUGCAUCCGUUUGACAUUACAUUUGGAUUCAAUAAAUUUCGAUGAACCCUUUCGAUGAAAUUUUUACUGUUCAAUUCUUUAUAAUAUUGAACACCCUUGUUCGGAAUUCUGGAUCCGCCACUACGAUUGAGUUUGAGUUUGGGAGUUUAAUUUUGGAGACGAAUCUUUGACGACUCGACCCGACGCCCCAGUCUGCUGCCCCGAAAGAGAAUUCCAUUUUGAAACUCAACGACGUCGCUGCUGCAUAGAGACUGCACAUCCUCAUUCUUCGGUUUUCAUAUCGUUUAGACAUAAACAUAGAAGAGAAAAUCUUCUGGGAACUGAGCAGAGACUCUUGAAACGGUCCUUUCUGCUUCACUUAUUUGCUAUAUGACUUACUAUUCUAAUUUUUAUUAUGUGAUUGACUGUUAGGAUCUAAUUCUAUUAUAAAUCACAGUCAAGUCUUUUAAUUAUGUAUUUUGUUUUAUAGUUACAUAUAGUUGAAACUCUUUAGAAUCAUGAAUGUGCAUCAAAUACUAGUUGUUGAGCCUGCUAAAGUAUUACAAAAGAAAUAUUAGUUUUUAAAAUUUAUUUCUUCAUUCUAUCGAUUUUAGAUUAAAAACUCCACCUUGGUGAUUUUUUUAAAAGGCUAUAAAGCUAGUAGUAUUUCUAACACACAGAAGUUGUCAUCUAUGUUUUCCUUUCAGUGUUGCAAACAUUUAAGUCGAGUUUGUUAUCUGUACUUCCUUUAGAAACAUUUUCUGAACUAACUUGCCUAAUGUUUCAACAUGAUCCACUUGUAGGUAGAAAGUAGUAUUUUCAAUGAUACAAGCAUCAAUUUUCUUAUAAGACAAAGAGAAUUCUCUUCAACAUAAUUUUUGGUGUGAACCUGAUUUUCUUUUAAAAAGGUUCUCCAUAUUUAUACUUAGUCCUAAUUAACUUUAAUCCGGUCGGUUAAUAAUUUUCUUUAAAUUAAUUGAGCCUUUAUUUUACUCAAACCCGGAAUAGUUAAAUUAUUAUAUUCUAGUUCAACCCGUUUAAAAUGGGGUACAACAAUGUAUCUUUGGUCACAAGUCUUUGAUCAAUCAAGUAUCAAGAAUUGAUAUAUUCCAUACAUUUAAUGUUUCUUUACAUGUACCUAACACUCGAGCGAUAUUGUUGUUUGAAGUUAAAUCGCAACACACAACCGAGUCAACACAUGAAGAAUGAGCAGAGUCGUCACCCCAAGUGGGGCCAGGUACGUUAAGGGACAUGAUGACAACGACAGGCUAUAGUUGACUUCUUGUAUGAAUAAUACAUACAACUUUAUUAAAUAAAGCAAUUCGUUACUCCCUCACUUUCUAAUUUUUGUAUCACUUUUUUAAAUAUUUCAAAACUUGACAACUUUUACUAUUACCUUAAAGUUUCGUCAUGCUUUUACAAUUCAUACAAUUCAAACAUCAAAACACUUUUAGCUUCACACAACUUUAGAAUGAUCAAACCUUUUAUUUAAUAAUCUCUUACGCAUUUCCCCUCUCACGACCCCAAUUUUCCUCUGUAGGAUGUCGUGAUGACACCUAAUUUCUAAGAUUAGGUAAGCCUAACAAUUUGCGGAAUAACUGAAUAUAAAACUGAACUCAAAUCUCAACACAUGAAAUAUGAAUAGAACCUGCGAUUCAAAUAAUUACAACUCCCAAAACCCGGUAGAAAUAAGUCACAAAUUUAUAAAAGAAAAUAUCAAGUGUCUCUAUACAUCAGAGUCUAAAGAAAAUAAGGAAAAGCAAUAUAGUAAGGAUGGGAGGGCUCCGAGGACUGUGGACGCUGGCAGAUAUACCUUGAAGUCUCCACGUACGGUCCAGCUCACUGGUAUCUGACCUGGUAGGAAGAACCUGGAUCUGCACAACAAGAUAUGCGGAAGUGUAGUAUGAGUACACCACAACGGUACCUAGUAAGUGUCAAGCCUAACCUCAGUAGAGUAGUGACGAGGUCAGAUCAUGGCCCUACUGGAAUAAAAGGUAAUGAGGCAUAGAAUAUAAUAAUACAAUGGAGUGACUGAGAAAUGAACAACGAGAAAUUUCAGAAAGGUAACAACACAGCAAAUAGAGAAAAAAACAGUGACGCUCCUGAGGUAUCGUCUCGUAGUCCCAAAUGUAAAUACACAAUAUGGGGAUCUCUCGAGGUACCGCCUUGUAGUCCUAAAAGUAAAUAUGCAAUGGGGGAUCUCCCAAGGUACCGCCUCGUAGUCCCAAAAGUAAAUAUGCAACAGGGGAUCUCCCGAGGUACCGCCUCGUAGUCCCAAAAGUAAAUACACAACUCAUAACCUAUGGUACAACGAACUUACAUCAAGGAAUCAUACAGUUAAAGACUGAAUACAAGAUCACGGAAGCAAGUAAUUCAACUAAGCAUGUUGCACAAAUUUAAAGUAAAGGUUAAGACACGUAGACAUGCGAUACUAGGCUAAACAUGACAGUUACACAUGCUAAGGCAACUAAGUUAUGGAAAUUAAAAGAAGACUACUCAGCAAGAACUGAAAUUUCCACAAUUAGCCGGUGUACACACUCGUCACCUUGCGUACACGACACUCACAUAUCACAAAUUGUUACAACAGUACCAAAUCCUAAGAGGAUUUUUCCCACACAAGGUUAGAUAAGUCACUUACCUCGAAUCUCGCUCAAUCUAUCGAUAAGGAUACUUUCCCUUUGCUUUUCCACUCCAAAUGGCCCAAAUCUAGCCAAAAUCAAUUACAUACCAUGAAUACAACUAUAAGAAACUAAUUUAAAUAAUAAAUCUACGACUUUAGCAAAGAAUCAAAAAUCGCCUCAAAAGGUCGACCUGGGCCCACGCCGCAGAAUCAGGUAAAAGUCACAAAAUACGAACACCCAUACCAAAAUUACUCAAAUUUGACACAAAAUUCUCGAUCAGAACCCCAAAAUUCGGCCUAAGGAUUUGUUUUCCACCCUUUUCACAGCCCAAAUCCUUAAUUAAUGGAAGAAUAAAUGAUAUCUUAGUGGAAAUUAAUAAAAAAAUAAGUCAAGAAUCCUUACCCAAAUGUUUCCUCUGAAAACCCCUCAAAUUUUUGCCUCAAUCCGAGCCCUAUAUCACAAAUUAUGAAGAAAAGGGCAAACCCUCUAUUUAAUAUAAUCCGCCUAGGCUUUUCGCAUCUGCGGCCAAUUCACCGCACCUGCAGAACCGCUUUUGCGGUAAAAACCUUUGCUUUCUUUUGUGCUUUUAAGCUAUUUUAUGGUAUAUCGAGAUAGUUGGUUCGGGUCCGGAGUGGUUUCUUUAGACACUUAGUCUCUAAAGUAGAAGCUUAAGUUGGAAAAGUCAAUCGGAUAUUGACUUAUGUGUAAACGAUCUUGGAUUUGAAUUUUGACGGUUCUGUUAGCUCCGUUAGAUGAUUUUGGACUUAGGAGUGCGUCUGAAAGUUGGAGUAGGUUUGUGGUGUCAUUUGAGACGUGUAUGUAAAAUUUGAGGUCAUUCGGACGUGGUUUGGUAGGUUUCGGCGUCGUUUGCAGAAUUUGGGAAGUUAGAAGUUCUUAGACUUGAAUCCGAGGGUAAUUUGGUGUUUUGAUGUUAUUUUGAGUGAUUUGAUGAUUUUUCAAAGUUUGUAUGUUGAUAUAUGACUUGUUGGUAUGUUUGGUUGAGGUCUUGAGAGGCUCGGGGUGAGUCCGGGUGGUUAACGGAUUGUUUGAAGUUGGAAAAAUGCAGUUGAAGCUGCUACUACUGGUAUUUCCGCACCUGCGAAGGGGGAGCCGUAGGUGCGAGGUCGUUGGUGCACUUGGUGAGCCGCAGAUGCGGACAUAGAGGACCUGGUCUGGAACCGCAGGUGCGUAAGAUUGGUCGCAUCUGCGAGCCCGUAGAUGCGAGGCUGAGGCGUAGAUGCAGAAGUGAGGAGGACUGGCAGUGGCCGCAAGUGCGAGGUCUUUUGCGCACCUACGAGGUUGCAGAAGCAGAUAUGGAACAUAGGUGCGAGAUAUGUGCGCAAAAAUGGCUCCGAAGGUGCGCAUUAUUUUAGCCACAGGUGCGAAAACCUGGGCAGAACCUAUAGAUAGAAGACUUCGCGAAUUUUUGUUCAUUCCCACCAUUUUCAAGUAGGAACUUGGAGUUUUGGAGUGAUGUUUGAAGGGGAUUCAAGGAUAUUCACUGAGGUAAGUUGCUUGAGCUCUAUUAUCAUUAGCUAUGGUGUUUUUUCGUUAAUGUUCCACCUAAUUAGUAGAAUUUUUGAAGUGAAAUAAGGGGUUAGGGCUUGGGAUUUUUGAGGAUUUGAGGGACCAAAUGAUGUCGGAUUUUGAUAAAUUUAGUAUGGGUAGACUCGUGAGUGAAUAGGCUUUCGGGUUUUAUGACUUUUGUCAGAUUUCGAGAUGUGGGCCCGGGGGGGGUGAGUGAAUUUCGGAAUUUGGCCUAUAAAUUGGUAUUUUCCUUGUGGGAUUUGUUCCUUUAGCUCAUAUUGAUCGUAUUUUAUUGCUUGUGGCUAGAUUCAGGUCAUUUGGAGGACGGUUCAAGAGGAAACGACAUUUCAGAGUAGGAGUUCUACGCGGUUGAAGUAACUAACAGUUUUAAAUCUGGUCUUGAGGGUAUGAAACCCAGAGUUUGGUAUAAUGUGAUUGUUUGGAGGUGGCACUCAUGCUAGGUGACGGGCGUGUGGGUGUACUCCAUGAGGGAUUGAGACUUGGUCCUUACCGGGAGACUAUGAAUUCUAAUAGCCUUUUUUUUGUGUUUAUAUGAAUUCCUGUCUACUAGAACUUGAUUGCCUUUCAUGUUAGAGAUCAUGCUUAGGCUAUAUUCCUGCUCAUGGUAGUUAUAUCCUAUCAUAGUGAUUCUUGUAGAUGUUUACCUCAGUCUCUGUUAUUUUUCCCUGAUGAUAUACUGUAACACUUUGAUUUGGGCUAUUUUCCCUUUCUUUAUUGAAAGCUAUGAGACUAGAGAGGUUCAUGACUGAGUAAGGCUGAAGGCCUGGUUGUGAUGUAUUGUUCUAUGGCACGGUUGUUGUCCGUGCAACACUUGAGUUGUCCAUGCAGAUCCUUAUAUUUAUACUAGGGCACGUGAGUUGUCCGUGCAGCACGUGAGUUGUCUGUGCGGAUCCAGAUAUUUAUACUAUAGCACGUGAGUUGUCCGUGCAGCACGUGAGUUGUCCGUGCAGAUUAUAGCGCUUAGGCUGCAGGAGCCUCUUAUGAGUCUGAACACCCCUAGUGAGCUCAAGUACCUAUUGAGCGUGCAUUGAGGGCUGGGAGUUGAGUGCCGAGUUGUUGAGGGUUUGAGUGACUGUUGCCCUGAGAGGUUGUACUUGCUUUUCAAUUGUUGAUGCACUUAGUUCUAUCUAUCAUUGUUGUGAAAUUUCUGAAAGUUUCUAUAUCCGGAGUACCUACACUUUAACUGUAUAAAACUGAUUUGACUUAAAUUGCGGAUUUGAAAAUAUGUCUAUUCUUUGCUGGAAUUAUUGAAAAUGAACUGUACUGUAUAGCUCGUCACUGCUUCUCAGUUCCUUAUUUAUUUCUGUUACUUACUGAGUUGGUUGUACUCAUGCUACACCCUACACUUCAUGUGUAUAUCCAGGUGGGUUUGAUUACGGAGGUCAUUGAGUUCGGGCGCGAUCGAGUACCGGAGACUACGAGGUAGCCGACGGUGUCCGCAGGACCUUGUCUCUCUUUCUAUAUUUCUUUCUGUCUUGUAUUGAUACUUAGACACUGGUUGUAUUAGUUUGGUUGUCUAGAUGCUCAUGACUUAGUGACACCCCGAUGUUUGGGGCUAGAUUCCACAUUUUGAUUCUAUAUUGA
rnacentral:lncRNA from 1 species